rnacentral:rRNA from 1 species
AGUGGGGAAUUUUGGACAAUGGGGGCAACCCUGACGCAGCAACGCCGCGUGAGUGAGGAAGGUUUUCGGACCGUAAAGCUCUGUCGAGCGGGAAGAAAUGCAUGGUGGCUAAUAUCCAUCAUGCUUGACGGUACCGCUAGAGGAAGCACCGGCUAACUCCGUGCCAGCAGCCGCGGUAAUACGGGGGUGCAAGCGUUGUUCGGAAUUAUUGGGCGUAAAGAGCGUGUAGGCGGCUGGAUAAGUCAGAUGUGAAAUCCCUGGGCUUAACCCAGGACGUGCAUUUGAAACUAUCCAGCUUGAGUAAGGGAGAGGAAAGUGGAAUUCCUGGUGUAGAGGUGAAAUUCGUAGAUAUCAGGAGGAACACCGGUGGCGAAGACGACUUUCUGGCCCUAUACUGACGCUGAGACGCGAGAGCGUGGGUAGCAAACAGGAUUAGAUACCCUGGUAGUCCACGCUGUAAACGAUGUUCACUAGGUGUUGGGGGUAUUGACCCUCUCAGUGCCGCAGCUAACGCAUUAAGUGAACCGCCUGGGGAGUACGGUCGCAAGAUUA